UACGUAGGGGGCAAGCGUUGUCCGGAUUUAUUGGGCGUAAAGAGCGUGUAGGCGGCCAGGUAGGUCUGGUGUGAAAACUCGAGGCUUAACCUCGAGAUGUCAUCGGAAACCAUCUGGCUAGAGUCCGGAAGAGGAGAGUGGAAUUCCUGGUGUAGCGGUGAAAUGCGCAGAUAUCAGGAAGAACACCAAUGGCGAAAGCAGCUCUCUGGGACGGUACUGACGCUGAGACGCGAAAGCGUGGGGAGCAAACAGG
rnacentral:rRNA from 1 species